AACGCUGAAGAGAGGAGCUUGCUCUUCUUGGAUGAGUUGCGAACGGGUGAGUAACGCGUAGGUAACCUGCCUUGUAGCGGGGGAUAACUAUUGGAAACGAUAGCUAAUACCGCAUAACAAUGAAUGACUCAUGUCAUUUAUUUGAAAGGGGCAAUUGCUCCACUACAAGAUGGACCUGCGUUGUAUUAGCUAGUAGGUGAGGUAACGGCUCACCUAGGCGACGAUACAUAGCCGACCUGAGAGGGUGAUCGGCCACACUGGGACUGAGACACGGCCCAGACUCCUACGGGAGGCAGCAGUAGGGAAUCUUCGGCAAUGGGGGCAACCCUGACCGAGCAACGCCGCGUGAGUGAAGAAGGUUUUCGGAUCGUAAAGCUCUGUUGUAAGUCAAGAACGAGUGUGAGAGUGGAAAGUUCACACUGUGACGGUAGCUUACCAGAAAGGGACGGCUAACUACGUGCCAGCAGCCGCGGUAAUACGUAGGUCCCGAGCGUUGUCCGGAUUUAUUGGGCGUAAAGCGAGCGCAGGCGGUUUGAUAAGUCUGAAGUUAAAGGCUGUGGCUCAACCAUAGUUCGCUUUGGAAACUGUCAAACUUGAGUGCAGAAGGGGAGAGUGGAAUUCCAUGUGUAGCGGUGAAAUGCGUAGAUAUAUGGAGGAACACCGGUGGCGAAAGCGGCUCUCUGGUCUGU
rnacentral:rRNA from 1 species